UACGGGGGGGGGCAAGCGUUGUUCGGAAUUACUGGGCGUAAAGGGCUCGUAGGUGGCCAACUAAGUCAGACGUGAAAUCCCUCGGCUUAACCGGGGAACUGCGUCUGAUACUGGAUGGCUUGAGUUUGGGAGAGGGAUGCGGAAUUCCAGGUGUAGCGGUGAAAUGCGUAGAUAUCAAGAGGAACACCUGAGGUGAAGACGGGUUGCUGGGCUGACACUGACGCUGAGGCGCGAAAGCUAGGGUAGCAAACGGG
rnacentral:rRNA from 1 species